rnacentral:rRNA from 1 species
GACGAACGCUGGCGGCGUGCUUAACACAUGCAAGUCGAACGGAAAGGCCCUGCUUUUGUGGGGUGCUAGAGUGGCGAACGGGUGAGUAACACGUGAGUAACCUGCCCUUGACUUUGGGAUAACUUCAGGAAACUGGGGAUAAUACCGGAUAGGAGCUCCUGCUGCAUGGGGGGGGUUGGAAAGUUUCGGCGGAUGGGGAUGGACUCGCGGCUUACCAGCUUGUUGGGGGGGUAGUGGCUUACCAAGGCUUUGACGGGUAGCCGGCCUGGGAGGUGGACCGGCCACAUUGGGACUGCGGUACGGCCCAGACUCCUACGGGAGGCAGCAGUGGGGAAUAUUGCACAAUGGGCGGAAGCCUGAUGCAGCGACGCCGCGUGCGGGAUGACGGCCUUCGGGUUGUAAACCGCUUUCGCCUGUGACGAAGCGUGAGUGACGGUAAUGGGUAAAGAAGCACCGGCUAACUACGUG